CCUACGGGUGGCAGCAGUGGGGAAUAUUGGGCAAUGGGCGCAAGCCUGACCCAGCGACGCCGCGUGAGAGAAGACGGUCUUCGGAUUGUAAACCUCUUUCAGCAGGGAAGACAAAAGGACGGUACCUGCAGAAGAAGCCACGGCUAACUACGUGCCCGCAGCCGCGGUCAUACGGAGGUGGCGAGCGGUAACCGGAAUGACUGGGUGUAAAGGGUGUGUAGGUGGGGCUGGAAGUCAGAUGUGAAAAUUAUGGGCUCAACCCAUAAACUGCGUCUGACACUGGAGGUCUUGAGUGUGGGAGAGGUAGACGGAAUUCCCGGUGUAGCGGUGAAAUGCGUAGAUAUCGGGAAGAACACCAGUGGCGAAGGCGGUUUACUGGACCACAACUGACGCUGAGGCACGAAAGCGUGGGGAGCAAACAGGAUUAGAUACCCGGGUAGUC
rnacentral:rRNA from 1 species